rnacentral:rRNA from 1 species
GAUCCUGGCUCAGGAUGAACGCUAGCGGCAGGCUUAACACAUGCAAGUCGAGGGGUAACAGAAGAGCUUGCUUUUGCUGACGACCGGCGCACGGGUGCGUAACGCGUAUACAAUCUACCUUUUACUAAGGAAUACCCCAGAGAAAUUUGGAUUAAUGCCUUAUAGUAUGUUUACUUCGCAUGGAGAUUACAUUAAAGAUUACGGUAAAAGAUGAGUAUGCGUCUGAUUAGCUAGUUGGUGAGGUAACGGCUCACCAAGGCGACGAUCAGUAGGGGGAUCUGAGAGGACUAACCCCCACACUGGUACUGAGACACGGACCAGACUCCUACGGGAGGCAGCAGUAAGGAAUAUUGGUCAAUGGAGGCAACUCUGAACCAGCCAUGCCGCGUGCAGGAUGACGGCCCUAUGGGUUGUAAACUGCUUUUAUACAAGAGAAAACCCGAGUACGUGUACUCGGUUGAUAGUAUUGUAAGAAUAAGCAUCGGCUAACUUCGUG